GAUGAACGCUGGCGGCGUGCCUAAUACAUGCAAGUCGAGCGAACAGACGAGGAGCUUGCUCCUCUGACGUUAGCGGCGGACGGGUGAGUAACACGUGGAUAACCUACCUAUAAGACUGGGAUAACUUCGGGAAACCGGCGCUAAUACCGGAUAAUAUAUUGAACCGCAUGGUUCAAUAGUGAAAUACGGUUUUGCUGUCACUUAUAGAUGGAUCCGCGCCGCAUUAGCUAGUUGGUAAGGUAACGGCUUACCAAGGCGACGAUGCGUAGCCGACCUGAGAGGGUGAUCGGCCACACUGGACCUGAGACACGGUCCAGACUCCUACGGGAGGCAGCAGUAGGGAAUCUUCCGCAAUGGGCGAAAGCCUGACGGAGCAACGCCGCGUGAGUGAUGAAGGUCUUCGGAUCGUAAACCUCUGUUAUUAGGGAAGAACAAAUGUGUAAGUAAAUAUGCACGUCUUGACGGUACCUAAUCAGAAAGCCACGGCUAACUACGUG
rnacentral:rRNA from 1 species